GAUCCAGCAAUGCCGCGUGUGUGAAGAAGGCCUUCGGGUUGUAAAGCACUUUUGUCCGGAAAGAAAACCUCGUGGUUAAUACCCGUGGGGGAUGACGGUACCGGAAGAAUAAGCACCGGCUAACUACGUGCCAGCAGCCGCGGUAAUACGUAGGGUGCAAGCGUUAAUCGGAAUUACUGGGCGUAAAGCGUGCGCAGGCGGUUCGCUAAGACAGAUGUGAAAUCCCCGGGCUUAACCUGGGAACUGCAUUUGUGACUGGCGGGCUAGAGUAUGGCAGAGGGGGGUAGAAUUCCACGUGUAGCAGUGAAAUGCGUAGAGAUGUGGAGGAAUACCGAUGGCGAAGGCAGCCCCCUGGGCCAAUACUGACGCUCAUGCACGAAAGCGUGGGGAGCAAACAGGAUUAGAUACCCUGGUAGUCCACGCCCUAAACGAUGUCAACUAGUUGUCGGGUCUUCAUUGACUUGGUAACGUAGCUAACGCGUGAAGUUGACCGCCUGGGGAGUACGGUCGCAAGAUUAAAACUCAAAGGAAUUGACGGGGACCCGCACAAGCGGUGGAUGAUGUGGAUUAAUUCGAUGCAACGCGAAAAACCUUACCUACCCUUGACAUGUAUGGAACCCUGCUGAGAGGUGGGGGUGCCCGAAAGGGAGCCAUAACACAGGUGCUGCA
rnacentral:rRNA from 1 species